rnacentral:rRNA from 1 species
UACAGAGGUCUCAAGCGUUGUUCGGAUUCAUUGGGCGUAAAGGGUGCGUAGGUGGCGGGGUAAGUCAGGUGUGAAAUCUCGAGGCUCAACCUCGAAACUGCACUUGAUACUGCCUUGCUCGAGUACUGGAGAGGAGAUUGGAAUUUACGGUGUAGCAGUGAAAUGUCGUAGAUAUCGUAAGGAAGACCAGUGGCGAAGGCGAAUCUCUGGACAGUUACUGACACUGAGGCACGAAGCCAGGGGAGCAAACGGG